rnacentral:rRNA from 1 species
AACGAACGCUGGCGGCAUGCCUAACACAUGCAAGUCGAACGAACUCUUCGGAGUUAGUGGCGGACGGGUGAGUAACACGUGGGAACGUGCCUUUAGGUUCGGAAUAACUCAGGGAAACUUGUGCUAAUACCGAAUGUGCCCUUCGGGGGAAAGAUUUAUCGCCUUUAGAGCGGCCCGCGUCUGAUUAGCUAGUUGGUGAGGUAAAGGCUCACCAAGGCGACGAUCAGUAGCUGGUCUGAGAGGAUGAUCAGCCGCAUUGGGACUGAGACACGGCCCAAACUCCUACGGGAGGCAGCAGUGGGGAAUCUUGCGCAAUGGGCGAAAGCCUGACGCAGCCAUGCCGCGUGAAUGAUGAAGGUCUUAGGAUUGUAUAAUUCUUUCACCGGGGACGAUAAUGACGGUACCCGGAGAAGAAGCCCCGGCUAACUUCGUGCCAGCCGCCGCGGUAAGAC